rnacentral:lncRNA from 1 species
UGGGGCCUGAAUUCCCUUCUCCCAGAGUAAAAUAUACUCUUCGAAUGGCAAUGCUAGUGUAGGUUGGCCAUCCGUAGCUGAGCCUUGGCCUCCUCCUGCAGAACCACAUGCAACCUGCCCUUGUCCUCAGCAGAUACAAAACCCUCUGUGCAGGUCUAUUAACUUAAUCAUAUUUAAAUACAUUCUUGGUAAGUAUUUAAAAUGUGUUCAUUUCCAUUCCCUUGAGCUGUACCGUUUUUGUAAUUAUAUUAAUGCUCUUCUCAGUGUUUGGAGAAUGGAAACCAAGUGGUUUGUCACCUUUUUUUUCCAGUCGGAUUUGCUUUCAGAUGGCUGUGCUUUUGGGUUAAAACCACUGAAGAAGGAUGUUUCUUUCCAGUGUUUCUCAGGGAGAUUUAAUUGCAGGAAUGCACUGUUAACUUAUGCUAAUAUUACCUUUGGCAGAAACACUGUUCCCUUUUAAUACAUACAGUCCAAAAGGGCAGAACAAGUUGGAUGAACUGACCAAACUCUAUUUUUCUGUUUCUGUCAGGCUGCUGUGUGUGGAGGAUGAUUUCACUGAUAAGAAGUCCCCAAGUGAUCUGUCACGGUGUCUGGGAAUAUUGCUCAGCAGUUGGCUGGUGUGGCUAAAGGGGAAGUGCAGCGAUUCAGAUAAAUGGGAUUCCUUCCAAAGCAGGAUGUUCUUCAAGUCUGAGCUACAGCCAACAUCUGUGGACAACACUCUUUGUUCCUAUUUUUAGCAGCCUAAAUAGGAGACAGCUCUCCCCUGAAGGGCAUGAGGAAGGAUUCCCUCUUGCUUUACCUCCAGCAACCAACCGCAAAAGCAGAAACAAGGAGACAAUAAAGUUCUCCAAAUCCCCA